GUCAGCAAGCAUGCUUGUUGGUGUCACACCUAACGGAUUAAGCAUUCCGCCUGGGGAGUACGGUCGCAAGAUUAAAACUCAAAGGAAUUGACGGGGGCCCGCACAAGCGGUGGAGCAUGUGGUUUAAUUCGACGCAACGCGCAGAACCUUACCAACCCUUGACAUACUUGUCGCGGAUUCCAGAGAUGGAUUCCUUCAGUUCGGCUGGACAAUGUACAGGUGCUGCAUGGCUGUCGUCAGCUCGUGUCGUGAGGUGUUCGGUUAAGUCCGGCAACGAGCGCAACCCACGUCCUUAGUUACCAGCAUUUAGUUGGGUACCCUAAGGAGACUGCCGGUGAUAAGCCGGAGGAAGGUGUGGACGACGUCAAGUCAUCAUGGCCCUUACGGGUUGGGCUACACACGUGCUACAAUGGCAUCUACAGUGAGUUAAUCUCCAAAAGAUGUCUCAGUUCGGAUUGGGGUCUGCAACUCGACCCCAUGAAGUUGGAAUCGCUAGUAAUCGCGGAACAGCAUGCCGCGGUGAAUACGUUCCCGGGCCUUGUACACACCGCCCGUCACACCAUGGGAAUUGGGUCUACCCGAAGGUGGUGCGCCAACUAUUUAUAGGGGCAGCCAACCACGGUAGGUUCAGUGACUGGGGUG
rnacentral:rRNA from 1 species